UCAUACUGCUGCUAUGAGCCGAAAGAGCUGGUAAGCUAUCUCGCUAAAUGAAAGGCAAAAGCACGUACGGGUUGACCUUGUUACAAGGGGCGGGGGCCAGCCAAAGAAGGUCAGUCGGACUCGGUUAGGACCCUUGAUCCGGUUCAGCUAGGUUCUUCCAUGCAAGAAUGUAUGUGCCCUUUUUCUCCUCGACCCGCAA